rnacentral:lncRNA from 1 species
UAAAGUGAAAAGAAAAUUUUACUCUCUUAACUCAAGGAUUAUGUUGUCUAGAAAAACCAACUUUCUUCUUAGCCCAGCCACAUUACAAGCCUUUGAAAGUCCUUGUGAUGAUAACUUGCUUGUAAAUGUGUUUUGAUGUGUUUAAAUGAACAACAAAGUUGAUUUAUAUGACAUUGCAAUAGUAGAGUGAAAGAGACACUGAC